rnacentral:lncRNA from 1 species
UCGAAAGCAGUGACAUAAUCAGAUCCAAUCGAACGAUCUCGAAUGUGCCCACAGAAAGAAAAAUAGAAUAUCUCCAUCUCUGUAGUCCAUUGACUACUGCCCCUUUAGUUUUCCCUUCCAACCAUUGGUCUAUAAAUACACACAACCCCCAACCACUACCUCCACCGCCACUCCACGGCUGCAUAUCUAAGCUAACCUUCUGCAACCCUUUUGCAAAUUUGUAUCAAACAGUUCAGAUUUCAACCUUCAAUGGCGGAUGAGGUGGUUUUGUUGGAUUUCUGGCCCAGCCCGUUUGGGAUGAGGCUGAGGAUCGCUCUGGCUGAGAAGGGCAUCGAGUAUGAGUACAAAGAUGAGGACUUGAGGAACAAGAGCCCACUGUUGCUGCAGAUGAACCCGGUUCACAAGAAGAUCCCGGUUCUCAUUCACAAUGGAAAGCCCGUCUGUGAGUCCCUCAUUGCGCUUCAGUACAUUGAUGAGGUUUGGAAUGACAAGGCUCCACUCUUGCCCUCCGACUCUUACCUCAGAGCUCAGGCCAGGUUCUGGGCUGACUUCGUCGACAAGAAGGUGAUUUUUACUCAUUAAUACUUAUUUUUGUUUUGAAUAUGUUUGGUUUGAAUUGAAACAAUUGAACAAUGCUGUAUUAGAAUUUUAAAAUUAUAAGUGUUUAGGGUGUAAUGAUUUUACCACUUAGGAUUUGUAUUAGAAGGGAAAUUAAAUGGAACUGGAUCUCUGUUUAUGUUUUCGGGUUAAGAUUUCAUGUUACGGUUUCGGGUUUAAGGUUUAAGCUUUAAGGUUUAAGGUUUAAGGUUUGUGAUGUAUAUUUAGAAAGAUAUAAGCGGAAGAUCUGAACUUGCCCAAAACAAUGUAUAUUAAUUUCCCCGAAAUUUGGGAUGUGAAAUGCAGAUAUAUGAUAUUGGGAGGAAGUUGUGGACAACCAAAGGAGAAGAAUAUGAUGCAGCAAAAAAAGACUUUCUCGACUGCAUCGGCGUGUUAGAAGGAGAGCUCGGAGACAAGCCCUUCUUUGGCGGGGAUACCCUCGGAUUUGUGGACGUCGCGCUAAUUCCGUUCUAUAGCUGGUUUCUUGUGUAUGAAAAAUUUGGCAACUUCAGUGUUGAGGCAGUGCACCCAAAGUUUAUUGUCUGGGUUAAGAGGUGCAUGGAGAAGGAGAGCGUGUCCAAGUCGCUUCCCGACCAGGAAAAGGUCUACGAUUUUGUCGCACUUAUGAGGAAAAAGUUUGGAAUUGAGUAGAUUUUGCUACCUCUUUUGGGUUGUUGAAUUAGAAUAAAAGGGCACUUGACCAAGCCUUGUACUGUAUGAGGCACUUUAUUGUGCCUCUGGUCGUUUAUUUUGCUUUUGUCAAGUUACCACACUUGUCAACUUGUUAUGUAAGGGAUCUAAAUCUACUUGAUCAAAUUUCUUAUUUUGUUACUACAUAUCGAAUGAUGGAUUAUUGGCUGUCACCAGUUGCAUUUAAUCGUGAGUCUAUCUCUCUUAUCAGGUAACAAAGACUUAUAAAGACUUAUGAUUGUAUGCAACAGUGAAUUUUCUCUUUAUCCAACUUCGAGUCAACAUUUUUCAAUCAUAUGAGAUCAUGUGCAGCAGACCCAGCAAAAGAUCUCACCUGAACAUCUCGACAGAAAAACAAACUGAAAAGAAAAUGAACUAGAAGAACGCAUCCUAACAUUCAUCAUCGAACUUUUAACACGGUGAUUAGGACACAUCUCAAAUACAUAAAAUCUCGUCCGACUCCUCCAUUGUUGACUUGACGCAUAAACUUCUUGCAGAUCAAUUUGCUUCUUGCCAAAUAUCUAACACCUGCGUUUCAGUCUCACUUAUAUUGGCCAAUUCUUGUUUCAUAAUCUAUAUUAAGUCAGCCAGUAAUAUUUUCUACAUAAACAUUUUUAUUCCUGUAAUUUGAUUCAUAUUUCAUUUUUGUUGAUACAGUGCACACCUUGUCAACAACUGAUUUGGUCAUACCUAUAUGAACCUACUUCAUGGGAUCCCUGCACUAAACCAACUUUGCCUUUUGAAAAUUCAUAGUGCUCUUCAUUAAUCAGAAAGGAGGCGAAAAUACAGCGACACCCUAAUGAGACCCCCUUCCGAUGUUGAACCAUCACUCGGACUAGAACACCACAAAUACACUUCAAUGAUUUUAAAAACAACCAAAACCUCAUUUUCAAAGAACUCCAUUUACCAACAAGUGACUUACAUUUCAAUUUGAUUUAAACCAAAAUUCUUAGGAUUUUGAACGACCAGUGCAACAAUAACAAUCUGACAACCCCACAACGACACUCCAAUGAUACUCUCCAUUUUAUGAUUUGAACUGGCACAACCACAACAACAAUCUGAUGACGUCACAAUGACACUUCAACGAUAUAUACUCUCAUUUUUAUGAUUUUGAACCAACACAGCCACAAUAACAAUUUGAAGAUGCCAAAACGACACCCCCAUUUUUUUGAUUUCGAACCACCUCAGCCACAACACUUCAUUCAAGGAACCCUCUCCUUCUUCAUUCCCUAACCACCACAACCAAAUUUCAAAUACCAAAAAAAAAAAAAAAUCAAAUAAUUGAGCCAAAGCAAGAUGAAACAGAGAGGGGAAGAAGAAGAAUGGAUACGGGAGGUGGAGCAAUAAGAAGCUUACCUCCUUUCAUGGUGUUCCAAAUGUUAUUUACCGCUCCAAAUUCGAUUAGUCAAGACGGCGCAAUCGAAAAAUGGAUUUGAGAGUGUUGUUGGGUGUUGGAAGAUUUUUUAUCAAUGAAGAACAUGAUGUCCAAUAAAAAGAUCAAUGAAGGGUAGUGUGGACUUUUCACAUGAAAAUUUGAUCAAAAGAACAAUUUUUAAUAAGUGUGAUAAAAAAUACAACAAAUGUCAAAACAUGUCUAUUUUGACUAAUUGCCGUAUAAUCUUCUAAGGUCAUAAUUGGAUCUAGCCUUCAACAAAACCACUAAACUAAAAGCUAGUGACAAUAACCCAUAAGUAAAUAUUACUAUAAAAGCGACCAAGAGUGAUAAUAAAACUUGGCAAAAUAAAUUUAUAUUGAUAGUGGAGGUCAGAUCUGCUCCAUAUCGAACUUGGCUUUCUCGUGCUAUUAAUUGUAGACACUUUUGAUAUUGCUGUGGUGUGAUUGUUGUCACUGACCUUUAAUGAGUCAAGGACCUAUGAGUUGAUUGGUGAAUAAGAUCUAAAAAUGUGUUUUCACUAAUGUAAUAUAAAUAGGUGGUUAUUCUAGCAUUACUCUUCAUAUACAAUUGCAUGAUUCAAAUCUUUUUUGUAACCUUCUUCAUGGCCUGGAAUUAUACAACUGUUUUUUUUCCCUAAUAGUUCUUAUUACACCUUUACUUGAUUUGCAUCACUUCCUUUAUGUUAAUAAAAUUAGACGAUUGCACAUGCUUCCUUACGGACCCAAAGACAACAUUUUUUUUUAACUAUUCUAGUUCCGUGUGGUUGAAUGGGAUUACAAGGUUUAGGGUUUUAGGGAUGUAGCACACCCCAACUUCAUAGCACAAUCGACGUAAAAAUAUUCUGAAAAUUCAUCCACGCCAAAACAAACCUGGAGUAUAAUGUCCUGAUUCCAACUUCCGAUCGUAUUUUUCGUCUCCAUCCAUCUGCAAAAAGUAAAAUCUCGUUGUAAAAAUUAAUGUAAAGUACAGUAAUCUACAUUGAUCGAACUAGGAACCAAAUAAGACAAUAACAACCUCUAAAUCUUCAACUUCGAGCCGGUCCAUCCACUCUGUUUCUCCUUUAACUCUAUCCGAACACUAGAAGAAACUAUAAAAUGAUAGCAUUACAUCUUAAGUACAUUUAUAAUACACAGAUUUGAUGUGUGUCUGAGGAAAUCUUUUAGGAUUGCAAAUUUGCUAAAAUAUAUUGGAAAAUAAUCAAAAGAAAAUCUAACCACUGAAAGUUUAACUGCAAUUACCUGAAAAAAGUUUUGAAACAUUACCUUCACCUGCCACAUAAUUUGCAUUGACUUUUCUGCUACCACCAACAAAAGUGAUAAUAACUAAAGACUCCCGUAACUGCAAUUAAAAACCAAUGUGAGUGUUGAGAAAAAGAACAACAGGUUCAGUAUCAUGAUAUGUCUAACAACCAGAAAGCCCUUGAAGCUAAAGCCUAAAGAAGUAUUAUAUCGUAGCGACCACUGGUGUCUUUGAGACUUCAGAUUUGAAAGCCUGCCUGUGAAAUCACAGGUAGUGAUUCUUCCAGUAUUUCCUGAGCAUUGUCUCCACAUCCAACAGUCAAAGCCAAUAUUCCUAAAGGAACUUUGACUCUAAAAACUACUUAGCCUAGGUGGCGCACAAGCUGAAUAACUAAUAAACUAACUAUGUUCUUCGGUUGAAUGCGGAGCGUGCCAACUCGUCGGCCAAGCUCGGCUGGGGAGUGAAUAAAUGUUGAUGUGACGUUGGGCACUGAUGACUUCUGAAUCUUGCGACUGCGGCCGAGAAAGGAACAUGUCUCGGCCCUUUGGGUUCUAGAGCCUGAAGACAAGGCUGUUAAUUCAGUAGAUCGACGAUCGCAGGGUUGGAUCCACCGCAAAAUCACCUUCUUCCUCAAAAAUUGUAUCCAACAUUUUCGUCAACGGGCGUUUGCUUAUUGAAAUGAACUGUGAUACUGCAACUUCUGUACGAGUACUCUUGGAGUUUGGCACUUUACCAUUCCUUCCAUUGCAAUGGAGGUAUGGAAUUAUGACAAUGCAGUUCUGGAAAGGGAAAAUUGGGAAGGUAGAGGAAGAUGGAGAGGUUGAGAGAGAAUAUGCUGCAAUGAACAAUUUUCUGGGGUUUUGUAGGGGUUUUAGAGAUUGAAAUUUGGCUGUUACUUUUGUCUUGAUGGCUACAUCUAAGGACAUUCGGUACUUUCCCAAUCCACCCUUAAUAUUUUAACAAAUGAGUCCACGUUCUAAUUAAAUUAGUUUAGUCUAUGAAGAAAGAGAUUCGAACUUUGAUGCAAGAGAAUUAACGAGCUGGUCUAACUCACAGAUGCACUAUAAGGAUUGUCGAUAACAAUAUCAUUUUUAUUUUUUAGCUUUCAUUUAUACGUUAAGUGUAAAGGGAAACUAUUAGAUAAAGGAGAGAUGGUGGUGAGACGAGGAGGGGAAAUGAAGAACAACGCAUGAAACCAACUUUGCCUUUCGAAAAUUCAUAGUGCUCUUCAUUAAUCGGAAAGGAGGCAAAAAUACAACUUUACCCUGUUGAAGAACAAUUCAGAAAUAAACAAAAAUAACAUAAACUCUAAUAUUUUAUUAACCAAAAUAUACUUGCUAUGCAAAACGAAAAUUAUACAAUAAUACAAAAAUUAAUAUUACUAACUUGAUUACAGAAGAUAGAGGCUAGCGUAAAAGCUAUGUCAUUCGAACAGUAUUUACGUCCCACUCCUGUGCUUGUGGUUCUACAACGUCUGCUCGACCAGGAUUCAACUACCUAAUUCUAUAAUCCGCACUGGAUUCUAGAACUCUAGCGAAUUUUCUUUUUGUGGGUUUACUCUUUGAAAAUUUCAUACAGAAGAAAGAAGGAAGAAAAAGAUAAUUCAUUUGGAUACUGUGAUUGCAGAUAUAUAGGUUGUUUCACACUCUUUCAAAUACCAGUUCAGUGUAUGUGAAGGUACACAACUCUUUCUAAGAGCUGUGUCUUUUAAUCAAAACGUUUUUAAUUAAUAAAUUAAUUAAAAACUUAAUCCGAAAAUUAAAAAUAAUGAAUCAGCCUAAUCCACACAAUCAUAAGGCCCAAGCCUUCAAUCCAUUUCCAAAUGGCCCAUGUUGUAAUUACUAGAUUAAAGCACUAAAUCUAUAUAAAGGCUCUUGAGAAUCUUGUUUUCCCCAAUGUUGGACAAGAGUCUCAAAACUUCCAACAUGCCCUUCGAUAUAUAGUUGACUUCAUUUUUAUUUUUAUCAUUUUUACUUCUUUAUAUACAAUUUUGGAUAAUGCAUGCCUAGGUUUCUGAUUUUUUUUUUAAUAUUACCUAGGGGUUUACAUAUUAUAUGCUCGUGUGAAGAUACUUUCAAGGAUAUAAACUGUGUAUAUUGCAAAGAUGACAAACAUAAAUCAAGAAAUAGUACAAUAUUGCAAAAAACUUUGUAAUUAGGAUAUAGUGAGUUUUACAAUUUGUUGAUGGAAAUAUUUGGUUUACAAUAUUACAACUGUAAAAACCAAAAUUAUAUAAACAAACAGUUAUUCUGAUGAAAUUAUCUAUUAAAAAAAGGCUGAUCACAUUAUUCUGAUUAAAUUAUCUAUGUAAAAAAAAUAAUCUUAAUUUGGUACAUAGUUUCAAGACAAAGUGGUUUGAGUGUGAAUUUGUUGUGACACUGAUGUAACAGCGAAUAACAAAUAUACCUAUUUGCAUGCAAGAUAUAACGGCAAAUAAGAGUAUGAAAGAUAUAUUCUAUGUUUCUUGAAUCAAUCUCAUCACCCAUAAAGGUAAACUAUAGAUCUAACUUAUCACACAUAUUGAAAUUUGUUGAAUGACAUUUUUAAUUUCCCGUUUUCUAGUUGUUUUCUUUAAUUUUUUAGGGGUCACUUAGUAGCCAUUUUGAACAAUUUUUAGUUUUCAAUUUUUCAAUUUUCAAAAACUGAAAUUUGUUUAGUAAGUACUUUCCGUUUUUAGUGAAAACUGAAAACCAAAAGGUAAAAACUCAAGAAAAUAAUUUUCAAUUUCAAAUUUUCGCAAACUUAAUACUGAUAAUAGAACCUGAAAAUGCAAUGACUAUCAAAAUGACAGUUAGUUAAACCAAUGAGCGAUUGUGGACAAAAUUGGGCUAGACUGGAACUAGGCUUUACAUAUUUUAAAUACGAGAAACUAUGGGUCCAACUCACUGUGUGUAUCAAAAAUGGUUGAAGGCCUUUUCAGUAUCUAACUCAUAGACAAUGACUAAAAUAUCGAUACUAUCGGCGAAAUAUCGCCGAUAUUAUCGUUUUUCAGAAAGACCGAUAUUUUCCCACGUAUUCCCCUAAUUGUCAAAAUAUCGCGAUAUUAUCGAUAAUAUCGCGAUAUAUGCGAUAUUAUCGAAACAAUCAUCGUGGCUACGUCAUCGAAAAGGCAGCCGAGGCUGCGUCGUUGCAGCUGCCCAGAUCUCUCUCUACAAUCUAGGUUCAAACCCAAGAUCUGCGCCUCCGUCGCUGGAAAUGAAAAAUCCAUUUUCUUCGGAUCCCAAAACCCGCUCGGGUUUGAAUCAAACUGUUUGAUGGAUCCCUUUGCCUAAUGGUAGUCGCCGGGAGGUGAGAAAGGGAGGAGGAACGGUCCACAAGUGGUGAUGGUGCUCGCCGGAGUGUGCGCCACUGUGGUGGAGGUCACGGUGUGGUGUGGGUGUGGUGUGUUUGUGCUUCGGGUGUGGUGUGGGUGUGGUGUGGCUUUGCUAGAGGUUUCUGGAAAAGAGAGAGAGAGAGAGAGAGAGAGAGAGAGAGGGGAGAAAGAUUUCUGGGAUUUUGUGGGCUGAUAGGAAAUAAGAGAGAGAGAGAGACUUAUGGGAUACGAAAAAGAAGAAAAUAAAGUAGAGGAAGAAGAAGUGAGAGAGGAGGAACAGGAUAGGAAAAACAAAAUGUCAGAUAUAGGAUUGGGAGUCUCAAUUUGGGACCUUGGGUUAUGUGAGGGAGGUGAGGUGGAGGGGUCACCAUGUGGUUUAAAGAAAAUGUUAAACACUAAUUUCAUUCAAAAUAUCUUAUAUUUAUUUUUUUAUUUUUUUAAAUUAAAUUGUUUUAUUUGGGAAAUCCAUCUUUGAGACCUUGAAAGUCUCUUUGAAGAUCAGAUCAUGCUAUAUACUUGAAACUCUAACGUCACAUAUACUAUUUUUUUGUAAAAGAAAUAACAUAUUUUUCAUAUCUUUCUUAUAUUGUACUAAUUCAUUAUAUAUAAAUGAUUAUGGUGUGUUUAAACUUCUUUCAUUCAUUACUAUAUAUUUUCUACACUCACAAUGUUUGCCAGCUCGCUAUAUAAUCAACUUAAAUCAGUUAAAUCCAUCAUGCAAUGCAUUUCCUUCCAAUUUUUUGUGAAUAGAUAAUUGACUAAAUAAACAUCCUGCAAAGUUUCAAUAAAAAUUUUCAAGUUUUUCUUACAAUUUCCGUGGUUUUUAUUCAAUUUUUAUCGAUAUCGAUAAUAUCCCGAUAUUUUCAUCGAAAUUUCCGUGUUUUUGGACUACCGAUAUUUCCGAUAUCAUCGAUAUUUUAUACCUUGCUCAUAGAUUAUUUUUCUAGGAAAAAUUUGAAAUAAGUCCAAUUUUAUAAGCCUAAUUUUAAAAUAGGUUCAAUUUUUAGUGAUAUUUUAUUUUUGAAAUAUAUCCAAUUUUUAGUUACUUUGGAUCCAUAUCAAAAUACCUUUAUUUUCUAUUAUAUUUUUUUACAAGGGAUAUUGAAGGACAUGAACUGGCUUCAACUAUAAAUCCCUUCUUGUUACAAAGUUGAAUUCUUGACCAGUUAAAAGAAGGAAGAAAAGUUGAAGGAUUUUGUACAUGUCACUUUACAGCAGUAGCGGAAGUCAUUAAUCUUACGUUUCACAAGUUCAGUCUGAUCACACCAACUUUUUAUUUUAAAAUUUAACAAUUUAAUUUACUGAACACUGCAUUUAGUCAAAAGUUAAAACCCCAAAAAAAAUUAUAAGAAUAUCAGGAUUUUAAUGUCGUAAGCAGUGACAUAAUCAGAUCCAAAUCGAACGGUCUCGAAUGUGUCCAAAAAAGAAGAAAAAUAGAAUAUCUCCAUUCCUGUAGUCCAUUGACUACUGCCCAUUUAGUUUUUCACUUCAACUUUUGUAUAUAACAGACACAACCCCCCACCACUACCUCCACCGCCAGUCUACAGCUUCAUAUCUAAGCUAACCUUCUGCGACCCUUUUGAAAAUUUGUAUCAAACAGUUCAGAUUUCAACCUUCAAUGGCGGAUGAGGUGGUUUUGUUGGAUUUCUGGCCCAGCCCGUUUGGGAUGAGGCUGAGGAUCGCUCUGGCUGAGAAGGGCAUCGAGUAUGAGUACAAAGAAGAUGACUUGUGGAACAAGAGCCCAUUGUUGCUGCAGAUGAACCCGGUUCACAAGAAGAUCCCGGUUCUCAUUCACAAUGGAAAACCGGUCUGUGAGUCCCUCAUUGCACUUCAGUACAUUGAUGAGGUUUGGAAUGAUAAGGCUCCACUCUUGCCCUCUGACUCUUACCUCAGAGCCCAGGCCAGGUUCUGGGCUGACUUCGUCGACAAGAAGGUGAUUUUUACUCAUUAAUUUACUUAUUUGUAGGAUUAUUUUUGUUUUGAAUAUGUUUGGUUUGAAACAAUUGAACAAUGUUGUUUUAGAAUUUUAAGAUUAUAAGUGUUUAGGGUGUAUAAUGAUUUUACCACUUAGGAUUUGUAUUAGAAGGGAAAUUAAAUGGAACUGGAUCUCUGUUUAUGUUUUCGGGUUAAGAUUUCAUGUAAUGGUUUCGGGUUUAGGGUUUGAGGUUUAAGGUGUGUGAUGUAUAUUUAGAAAGAUAUAAGCAGAAGAUCUGAACUUGCAGAUACAUGAGAAUGGGAGGAAGUUGUGGACAACCAAAGGAGAAGAAUAUGAUGCAGCAAAGAAAGACUUUCUCGACUGCAUCGGCGUGUUAGAAGGAGAGCUCGGAAACAAGCCCUUCUUUGGCGGGGAGACCCUCGGAUUCGUGGACGUGGCGCUUGUUCCAUUCUAUAGCUGGUUUCUUGUGUAUGAAAAAUUUGGCAACUUCAGUGUUGAGGCAGAGCACCCAAAGUUCAUUGCCUGGGUUAAGAGGUGCAUGGAGAGGAGAGCGUGUCCAAGUCGCUUCCCGAGCAGGAAAAGGUCUACGAUUUCUUCAUGCUUAUAAGGAAAAAGCGUGGGAUUGAGUAGAUAUUGGUGGAAGCCUGGCAAGAAGCUAUUGAUGAUCAGUGUCAUUCCAACUUGUUUAGGUCAUUGGUUUUUCUGUCUUUCAAGAUUCAACUGUUUUCGGUUGUUGAAUUAGAAUAAAAGGGCACUUGACAAGGCUUGCACUGUAUGAGGCACUUUAUUGUGCCUCAGGUCAAUAUGUUUAUUUUGCUUCUGUAGUCAACCUAUCACAGUGUUGUCAACUUGUUAUGCAAGGGAUCUAAAUCUACUUGAUCAAUUUUCUUAUUUUGUAACUACAUAUCGAAUGAUGGAUUAUUGGCUGUCACCAGUUGCAUUUAAUCGUGAGUCUAUCUUUCUUAUCAGGUAACAAAGACUCAUGGUUGUAUGCGGUAGAUUAUACAGUGAAUUUUCUUUUUAUCCAACUUUGAGUCAACAUUGAUAAGUCAUAUGAGAUCAGGUGCAGCAGACACAGCAAAAGAUCUCACCAGAACAUCUCAGACAGAAAAACAAACUGAAAAGAAAAUGAACUAGAAUAACGCAUCCUAACAUUCAUCAUCGAACUUUUAACAUGGUGAUCAGGACAAUCUCAAAUACAUAAAACCUCGUCCGACUCCGCCAUUGUUGACUUGAUGCACAAACUUCUUGCAGAUCAAUUUGCUUCUUGCCAAAUAUUUGACACCUACGUUUCAGUCUCACUUAUAUUGGCCAAUUUUUGUUUCAUAAUCUAUAUUAAGUCAGCCAGUAAUAUUUUCUACAUAAACAUUUUUAUUCCUGUAAUUUGAUUCAUAUUUCAUUUUUGUAUACCUAUAUAAACCUACUUCAUGGGAUCCCUGCGCUAAACCAACUUUGCCUUUUGAAAAUUCAUAGUGCUCUUCAUUAAUUAGAAAGGAGGCAAAAAUACAGCAACGCCCUAAUGAGACCCCCUUCCGAUGUUGAGCCCUAAUGAUACCCCCUUCCGAUGUUGAACCAUCACUCAGACUAGAACACCACAAUGACACCACAAUUACACUUCAAUGAUUUAAAAAACAACCAAAACCUCAUUUUCAAAGAACUCCAUUUACCAACAAGUGACUUACAUUUCAAUUUGAUUUAAACCAAAAUUCUUAAGAUUUUGAACCACCAGUGCAACAAUAACAAUCUGACAACCCCACAACGACACUCCAAUGAUACUCUCCAUUUUAUGAUUUGAACUGGCACAACCACAACAACAAUCUGAUGAUGUCACAAUGACAUUCCAACGAUAUAUACUUCCCUUUUUAUGAUUUUGAACCAACACAACCACAACAACAAUUUGAAGAUGCCAAAACGACACACCCCCAUUUUUUUGAUUUCGAACCACCUCAGCCACAACACUUCAUUCAAGGAACCCUCUCCUUCUACAUUCCCUAACCACCACAACCAAAUUUCAAAUACAAAAAAAAUCAAAUAAUUGAGCUAAAGCAAGAUGAAACAGAGAGGGGAAGAAGAAGAAUGGAUACGGGAGGUGGAGCAAUAAGAAGCUUACCUCCUUUCAUGGUGUUCCAAAUGUUAUUUACCGCUCCAAAUUCAAUUAGUCAAGACGGCGCAAUCGAAAAAUGGAUUUGGGAGUGUUGUUGGGUGUUGGUAGUUUUUUUUUUAUCAAUGAAGAACAUGAUGACCAAUAAAAAGAUAAGUGAAGGGUAGUGUGGACUUUUCAUAUGAAAAUUUGAUCAAAAGAACAAUUUUUAAUAAGUGUGAUAAAAAAUAUAACCAAAUGUCAAAACAUAUCUAUUUUGGCUAAUUGCUGUAUAAUCUUCUGAGGUCAUAAUUGGAUCUAGCCUCCAACAAAACCACUAAACUAAAAGCUAGUGACAGUAACCCAUAAGUAAAUAUUACUAUAAAAGCGACCGAGAGUGAUAAUAAAACUUGGCAAAAUAAAUUUAUAUUGAUAGUGGAGGUUAGAUUUGCUCCAUAUCGAGGCUCCUUAUCGGACUUGGCUUUCUCGUGCUAUUAAUUGUAGACACUUUUGAUAUUGUUGUGGAGUGAUUGUUGUCACUGGCCUUUAAUGAGUCAAGGACCUAUGAGUUGAUUGGUGAAUAAGAUCUAAAAAUGUGUUUUCACUAAUGUAAUAUAAAUAGGUGGUUAUUCUAGCAUUACUCUUCAUAUACAAUUGGAUGAUUCAAAUCUUUUUUGUAACCUUCUUCAUGGCCUGGAAUUAUACAACUGUUUUUUUCCCUAAUAGUUCUUAUUACACCUUUACUUGAUUUGCAUCACUUCCUUUAUGUUAAUAAAAUUAGACGAUUGCACAUGCUUCCUUACGGACCCAAAGACAACAUUUUUUUUUAACCAUUCUAGUUCCGUGUGGUUGAAUGGGAUUACAGGCUUUAGGGUUUUAGGGAUGCAGCACACCCCAAUAUUGCUAAAGGAAUUGUGACUCUAAAAACUACUUAGCCUAGGUGGUGCACAUACCGAAUAGCUAAUAAGUUAACUACGUUCUUCGGUUGAAUGCGGAGUGUGCCAACUCGUCUGUCAAGCUCGGCCGGGGAGUGAAUAAAUGUUGAUGUGACGUUGGGCACUGAUGACUUCUGAAUCUUGCGAUUGCGGCCGAGGAAGGAGCACAUCUCGCCCUUUGGGUUCUAAAGCCUGAAGACAAGGCUGCUAGUUCAGUAGAUUGACGACCGCGAGAUUGGAUCCACCGCAAAAUCACCUUCUUCCUCAAAAAUUGUAUCCAGCAUUUUCGUCAAUGGGCGUUUGCUUAUUGAAAUGAACUGUGAUACUGCAACUUCUGUACGAGUACUCUUGGAGUUUGGCACUUUACCAUUCCUUCCAUUGCAAUGGAGGUAUGGAAUUAUGACAAUGCAGUUCUGGAAAGGGAAAAUUGGGAAGGUAGAGGAAGAUGGAGAGGUUGAAAGAGAAUAUGGUGCAAUGAACAAUUUUCUGGGGUUUUGUAGGGGUUUUAGAGAUUGAAAUUUGGCUGUUAUUUUUGUCUUGACGGCUACAUCUAAGGACAUUUGGUACUUUCCCAAUCCACCUUUAAUAUUCUAACUAAUGAGUCCACGUUCUAAUUAAAUUAGUUUAGUCUAUGAAGAAAGAAAUUCGAACUUUGAUGCACAAGAACUAACGAGCUGGUCUAACUCACAACUGCACUAUAAGAAUUGUCGAUAACAAUAUCAUUUUAUUUUUUAGCUUUCAUUUUUACGUUAAGGGUAAAGAGAAAACAUUAGAUAAAGGAGAUAUGGUGGUGAGAUGAGGAGGGGAAAUGAAGAACAAUGCAUGAAACCAACUUUGCCUAUCGAAAAUUCAUAGUGCUCUUCAUUAAUAAGAAAGGAGGCAAAAAUACAACUUUGCCCUUCGGUGUAUAGUUGACUUCAUUUUUAUUUUUUAUCAUUUUUACUUCUUCUUUAUAUACAAUUUUGGAUAAUGCAUGCAUGCGUGCCUAGGUUUCUGAUUUUUUUUUAUAUUACCUAGGGGUUUACAUAUUAUAUGCUCGCGUGAAGAUACUGUAGACAUCGAAAUUUCGAUAAAUAAAUGUUGACCGAUAAAUCAAAGUGUCAACGCUCGUGUAUUACAUAAAUUUUACACGUAGCGUGUGACUCAACGAAAAUUGAAAUGAGUUGGAAAAAGUCAUCAAAUAGAACACGUGUCAACACCUGGCAGAAACGACUUAUUUCAUCUGGGAUAUUAUAUUCAAAAUUAAGCCUUGGAAAAUUCUAUAAAUACAAGCCCAUUUCAUUCAUUUGGAGGGGGAACCAAAAUCAUUAGGCAAAAUUCUUGAAGCUCUGAAGCUCUGAAACUCCGAAGCUCUCAAGCAUCCAGGUUCCCGAAGAAUCAAGAAAGUGUUCUUCGUUCUUCGUUCUUCGUUCUUCCAAGAUCAAGCCCCAACGGCCCUUUGGAUCAACAAUCAUCCACCAAUUCAAGAUCAAGCCCCGACGGCCCUUGAAGAAAGUGUUAUUCGUUAUUCGUUCAUCGUUCUUCCAAGAUCAAGCCCCAACGGCCUUUUGGAUCAACAAUCGUCCACCCAUUCAAGAUCAAGCCCCGACGACCCUUGAAGAAAGUGUUCUUCGUUCCUCGUUCAUCGUUCUUCCAAAAUCAAGCCCCGACGACCCUUAGAUCAACCAUCCAUCAAUUCAAGAUCAAGCCCCAAAGGCCCUUGAAGAACUUCCACCAAUUCAAGAUCAAGCCCCGACAGCCCUUGAAGAAAGCACCAUCGUUCAUCAUCCGUUCAUCCAAGAUCAAGCCCCAACGGCCCUUUGGAUCAACAACGUCAACAAAUCCACACAUCUAACCGUUCUUCAAGAUCAAGCCCAAAAGCCCUUGAAGAUCCGUUCAUCACUGUUCUUCAAGAUCAAGCCCAAAAGCCCUUGAAGAUCCGUUCAUCGCCAUUAUUCAAGAUCAAGCCCAAAAGCCCUUGAAGAUCCGUUCAUCACCAUUAUUCAAGAUCAAGCCUCAACGGCCCUUGAAGAAACACUCAUCCUUAAGAUCAAGCCCCAACGGCUCCUUGAAGAUCCGCUCAAAUCCACCUUCAAAGAUCAAGCCCACGGUCCCUUGAAGAAACUUCCAACAGUUCAUCCAAGAUCAAGCCUCGACGACCCUUGGAUCAACGAAACAUCCACAAAUCAAUACCUUACGGAAAUCGAAUCAGAUGAUCAAGAUAAAAAGAUUGUAACCUUACAAAUCCAUUAACACCAAAAUCUUUCUUUGCACACGUUGUUCUUGUCUCUUUCGUUUCAGGAAUUUUCCGUGUUCACAAAUUGGCACACCCGGUGGGAUAAUCUCUACCUCUCAUCUCUUUCUCCGUUCAAGAAAUUCGAGCACACUUCCAAAAUUAAUGGCAUCAAGGAAGGUUCAAACUGUUCCCGCAACUGGCGUAAAGAACAAGAGCGUCAUCGUCGCAAGUGGUGUCAUUUUAGGCAUCACGACUCGAAGCAAGGCAAGAGCUACUUCUGCCGCCUCUUUCACCUCUGCAUCAACUAUGCCAAGGGAAUAAGAGCACCCAAGGCACGAGCCUUUGAUCACCUUAGCCUCACCAAGGGCACCAAGGAGCGAAAGUCCAAGGAAAUACUCCGAAUCCAUACUCUCCGAUGCCGAUUCGAGCGGCAGUUCAGCCAUGCAAGUCAUGACCAUUGGAGCAACUUCAAUCGAUGAGUAGCUGGCUCAAAUGAAUGAAGCAAUCGCAAGGCUAACCCGAACUGUGGAAGAAAAAGACUUGCAAAUCGCUGCACUCGUCAGCCGACUGGAGCCACAGGCGGCGAGAACCCUAACCCAGAAGAUGAGCCUACGGUGGAGAGAAUCGAUGCGAAGCCGGAGCCAGACCAAGCAGCGGCACUCAUGGGAUCUCUUUCUAUCCAGCAGUUGCAAGAGAUGAUCACCAACACCAUCAAGGCACAGUACGAAGGGAGCUCAAAUACCUCCGGGUUGUACUCAAAGCCUUAUUCAAAGAAGAUUGAUGCCCUAAAGAUACCGAGGGGAUAUCAACCACCAAAGUUCAUGCAGUUUGAUGGAAAAGGAAACCCAAAGCAGCAUGUUGCACAUUUUGUCGAAACUUGCAACAACGCGGGGACUGAGGUAGACUACCUCGCCAAGCAGUUUGUGCGCUCGCUAAAAGGAAACGCCUUUGAGUGGUACACGGACCUAGAGCCUGAGUCUAUCAACAGCUGGGAACAGUUGGAAAGGGAAUUCCUCAACCGCUUCUACAGCACCCGCCGCACUGUGAGCAUGCUAGAGCUAACGAGCACAAAGCAGUGGAAUGACGAGCCAGUCAUUGACUACAUCAACAGAUGGCGCACUCUAAGCCUCGACUGUAAAGACAGGCUCUCGGAAACUUCUUCAAUCGAGAUGUGUAUCCAAGGCAUGCAAUGGGGUUUGCAAUACAUCCUUCAAGGCAUCAAACCACGGACCUUCGAGGAAUUGGCCACUCGCGCCCAUGACAUGGAGUUGAGCAUCGCCCAUCAUGGGAAGAAGGAACCGAUCACCGACUACAAGAACGACAAAGUUCUUGAGACAAAGGUAGAGAAGGCUGCGUGGAAAUCCACUAAAGAAGCGAUGACGGUCAACACAUCUCCCGUCAAAAUCUCCACACGAGGCAAGGCGAUUCAAACCGAAGCUUUUCGUGAUCAAGAGAUGCGUAGACGCACUUUGAAGGAGCUUGAGGAGAAGACUUAUCCGUUCCCCGACUCUGAUGUGGUUGCCAUGCUGGAUGACCUGUUGGACAAGAAGGUGAUCAGUUUGCCUGAGUGCAGACGGCCGGAAGAGAUGAAUCGUACCGACAGCCCAAGAUACUGUAAAUUCCACCGCUUCAUCAGCCAUCCAACGGAAAAGUGCUUCGUACUGAAAGUGCUUCAUACUGAAAGAUCUCAUCCUGAAGCUGGCACAACAAGGGAAAAUCGAGCUUGACCUCGAAGACACGGUUGCGGCACACACUACUACUAUCGUGUUUGGAUCACUUGAUCAUAUGCCUUUCCGAAGCAUGCAUGACCAUUCCCGUCAAUGUUCAAGUCAUAAGGCACCUCCUACACAACCAUCACCGGGGGCAAGCAACCAAGAUGCAGCUACUGGUGAUAAGAAAGAGUGGACAUCGGCGACCUACAAAAAAACGAGGAAGCCAAGACCACAAGCCACAAGACCAAAAGAAGAGCCUAAACCCGCCCCUCGAACUUCAGUCUUCGAAAGGCUGAAUUAUUCAAAACCUAGAAUUUCGGCACUUGAUGACAUUAGUGGUCAAGACCAAACUUCCGUCUUCAAAAGGCUUGAGACGCCAACACCGCAAAGAUCUGUCUUUGAAAGGUUAUCAAAACCCAAGAAACAAAGCGGCACAGCUAGAUUUCCUCCACAACGGUCGGCUUUGGACAGACUUGAAGAAACUAAGAAGCCUUCUAGAAACAGGAAGACAACGCCAAAGGGAGAAAAGCUCGACAGUCUAGCAAGAAAAGACGAUGUUCAAAGUUUGAUUCCUUCAAGGAUGAAGCGCCAAGCAACUUUGGAAGUCGACACAAAAGGACCACUGAAGGUAAGGAGGCGCACCAUCAUCUACACUGGCCAACCUUCACGGCAACAAACCCAAGAGGACCGCACUGAAGAGGAGGCCCAAGAAGACAAAGAAGACGAAAUCCUGGAAGAAGACCUCACUUCCGGCUCUGUCAACUCAAAAUCUUCACCUCAAUCGCUGGGGGCAUGCUCCAAAAACAUGCCAGUCAAGCCGAGUGAAGUUAAAGGAUGGACUUAUGUCACUCAUGUUCACCUCCAAAACAUGCCAGUCAAGACUUCACAUUUUUUAUUGUUUUAGUGAUUUCGAUGACAUCGAUAAUUAUUUAAUCUUGCGUUUGCUGCAUUAUUUAAACUUCUAUAUUCAUAUUCAUCUUUUAGGGUUCAUAUUAAUCUUGCGUACCUAGUAACAUGAGUCGUAUUAGCGCUAGAGUCAUAUACUACUUUUACAAAUUGAGGAUAGCCAUUCUCCACAUGAACUCCUACUCUCAAUCUUUAGCCGUUUAAUUGACGUAUGUUUCUCAUUGCAAGUUUUUCUUUCUUUUUUCUUCUUCUUUCCUUGUCAUUGGGAGAUGAUCAGUGGAAAAUGAGGAGAGACAUGGCCUGUAUUAAAGAAAUCCGAGACCAAUUUAGUUUUGAUUUAUUAAUUAACUUCUACACCUAGAUCAUUAACAGAGAUAGGGUCUUUAUUUAUUUUGUUCAAGACUAAGUCUAAAGACUUGUGAAAUAUAUAUAGAAGCAUUAUUUGUUAGCAGUAACGAGAGUGUCUUUUUUUUUUUUUUUUUUUUUUUUUUUUACUCGGAAAGACUUAGCACCACGGGUCAUUUUUUUAAGGCUUUUUAGAAGUUGAAUAAGAUGAUUUCAAACUAUACUAAGAUGAUUUCAAAUCAUCAUUUUGAAAUCAUUCGGCAACUACUAAACGUUCAGAUGAUUUGAAAUAUUUCGACAAAUUAAACGUUCAAAUGGUUAUAUUCAAUCCCUGAAAAUUAAAAAUGAGUGUUAUAAGAUUUGAGAAAUGGGGGGUGUAAAGAAAAUGUGGGGUGUAUGUACAAAAUAUAAGAUGUAUAUUGAGAAUGCAGGGUGUGGGGUAUUAUGGGAAAGUAUGUGGGGUGUAUGAAGAUAAUUUUUAAGUGGAAAAGCAAAUAUAGGGUGUAUUAAGUAUGUGAGGUUUAUUCAACAAUUUGUGGGAUGUUAAUAUAAUUAGCUAAACUGAAAACCAAAAAAAUAAAAACUCAAAAAAGUAGUUUUUAGUUUCAAAUUUUUGCAAACUUAAUAUUGAUAAUAGUUACCAAACAAAAUUUUAAUUUUUUAGAAGAAAAAAAAAACCUAAAAAUGCAAUGAUUAUCAAAAUGAGUUAGUUAAACCAAUGAGCGAUUGUGGACAAAAUUGGGCUGGACUGGAACUAGGCUUUACAUAUUUGAAAUAGGAGUGGACCCAAGACUUACAUAUUUUAAACAGAACCUAAUGGCCCGACCCAUUUAACUCUUAGGGCCAGAGGUAUAGGGCCAAGUACGACUUGGGCAGCUAUACCUUGGGCUCUUGUUGGCCUUCCCGAUCCAAUCUACAGGCCUACUAGAAACUACGGGUCCAACUCACUGUGGGUAUCAAAGUUGGUUGAAGGCCUUUUCAGUAUCUAACUUAUAGAUUAUUUUCUAGGGAGUUUUAACGAAAAGCCCACAGUAUUGUUUAUUUUAACGAAAAACCACAUUUUUAUACUAAAAAGUCAAACUUGAUACUAUUCACUUUACUCUUUAUUUUGUCCUUAUCAUUAAAACUCAAAAUUUUCAAACUUUUUUCAUUAGUUUUCCUUAUGUUCUAUUACAUUUUUUUACAAGGGAUAUUGAAGGACAUGAGCUGGCUUCAACUAUAAAUCCCUUCUUGUUACAAAGUUGAAUUCUUGACCAGUUAAAAGAAGGAAGAAAAGUAGAAGGAUUUUGUUCAUGCCACUUUACAGCAGUAGCGGAAAUCAUUAAAUCUUACGUUUCACGAGUUUAGUUUGAUCACACCAAUUUUUUAUUUUAAAAUUUAACAAUUUAAUUUACUGAACACUACAUUUAGUCAAAACCCAAAAGAAAAUUAUGAGAAUUUCAGGAUUUUAAUGUCGUAAGCAGUUACAUAAUCAGAUCCAAAUCGAACGAUCUCGAAUGUAUCCAAAAAAGAAGAAAAAUAGAAUAUCUCCAUUCCUGCAGUGUAGUUUUUCACUUCAACUUUUGUCUAUAAAUAGACACAACCCCCCACCACGACCUCCACCGCCAGUCCACGGCUUCAUAUCUAAGCUAACCUUCUGCGACCCUUUUGCAAACUUGUAUCAAACUGUUCAGAUUUCAACCUUCAAUGGCGGAUAAGGUGGUUUUGUUGGAUUUCUGGCCCAGCCUCUUUGGGAUGAGGCUGAGGAUCGCUCUGGCUGAGAAGGGCAUCGAGUAUGAGUACAAGGAAGAGGACUUGUCGAACAAGAGCCCACUGUUGCUGCAGAUGAACCCGGUUCACAAGAAGAUCCCGGUUCUUAUUCACAAUGGAAAACCGGUCUCUGAGUCCCUUAUUGCGCUUCAGUACAUUGAUGAGGUUUGGAAUGAUAAGGCUCCACUCUUGCCCUCUGACUCUUACCUCAGAGCCCAGGCCAGGUUCUGGGCUGACUUCGUCGACAAGAAGGUGAUUUUUACUCAUUAAUUUACUUAUUUGUAGGAUUAUUUUUGUUUUGAAUAUGUUUGGUUUGAAACAAUUGAACAAUGUUGUUUUAGAAUUUUAAGAUUAUAAGUGUUUAGGGUGUAUAAUUAUUUUACCACUUGGGAUUUGUAUUAGAAGGGAAAUUAAAUGGAACUGGAUCUCUGUUUCUGUUUUCGGGUUAAGAUUUCAUGUAAUGGUUCCGGUUUUAGGGUUUAGGGUUUAAGGUUUAAGGUUUGUGAUGUAUAUUUAGAAAGAUAAAAGCAGAAGAUCUGAACUUGCCCAAAACAAUGUAUAUUAAUUUCCCCGAAAUUUGGGAUGUGAAAUGCAGAUAUUCGAGAAUCGGAAGAAGUUGAGGACAACCAAAGGAGAAGAAUAUGAUGCAGCAAAAGAAGACUUUCUCGACUGCAUCGGCGUGUUAGAAGGAGAGCUCGGAGACAAGCCCUUCUUUGGCGGGGAGACCCUCGGAUUCGUGGACGUGGCGCUUGUUCCAUUGUAUAGCUGGUUUCUUGUGUAUGAAAAAGCUGGCAACUUCAGUGUUGAGGCAGAGCACCCAAAGUUUAUUGCCUGGGCUAAGAGGUGCAUGGAGAAGGAGAGCGUGUCCAAGUCGCUUCCCGAGCAGGAAAAGGUCUACGAUUUCUUCAUGCUUACAAGGAAAAAGCGUGGGAUUGAGUAGAUAUUGGUGGAAGCCUGGCAAGAAGCUAUUGAUGAUCGGUGUCAUUCCAACUUGUUAGGUCAUUUGGUUUUUCUGUCUUUCAAGAUUCAACUGUUUUCGGUUGUUGAAUUAGAAUAAAAGGGCACUUGACAGGGCUUGCACUGUAUGAGGCACUUUAUUGUGCCUCAGGUCAAUAUGUUUAUUUUGCUUCUGUAGUCAACCUAUCACACUGUUGUCAACUUGUUAUGUAAGGGAUCUAAAUCUACUUGAUCAAAUUUCUUAUUUUGUAACUACUUCAUAUCGAACAACGGAUUAUUGGCUUUCACCAGUUGCAUUUAAACGUGAGUCUCUUUCUAGCAGGAGACAAAGACUCAUGGUUGAAUGCAAUCGAUUAUACGAUGAAUUUUCUCCUUAUCCAACUUUGAGUUAACAUUUUUCAGUCGUAUGAGAUCAUGUGCGGUACACACAGCAAAGAUCUUACCUGAACAUGUCGACAGAAAAACAAACUGAAAAGAAUAUGAAGGCAUCCUAACAUUCAUCCAAGGAUUUUCUAACAUGGUGAUCAGUGUGAUAAUACACCAGUAGCUAGCCGCGGAGUCAUGUAGAAGGCUGGUCGGAACUCAGGCCGGCCUAAUUUUAUUUGUGAUAGUCCUCUCCACGCAAUGAUCUUUGGGCACUCUAUUUGCACAAAUUUCCACAGGUCUCAAAUACAUAAAACCUCGUCCGACUCCGCCAUUGUUGACUUGAUGCACAAACUUCUUGUAGAUCAAUUUGCUUCUCGCCAAUAUCUGACACCUGCGUUUCAGUCUCACUUAUAUUGCCCAAUUCUUGUUUUAUUCAUGUAAUUGGAUUCAUAUUUCAUUUUUGUCGAUAAAGUGCACACAUGGUCAACAAGUGAUUUGUUCAAACCUAUAUGAACCUACUUCAUGGGAUCCCGUGCACUUAACCAACUUUGCCUGUUGAAAAUUCAUAGUGCUCUUCAUUAAUCAGAAGGGAGGCAAAAAUACAGCGAUGCUCUAAUGAAACCCCCUUCUGCUGUUGAACCAUCACUCCGACUAGAACACCACAAUGACGCCACAAUUACACUUCAAUGAUUUUAAAAACAACCAAAACCUCAUUUUCAAAGACCCACAUUUAACAACAAGGGACUUACAUUUCAAUUUGAUUUAAACCAAAAUUCUUAGGAUUUUGAACCAACGGUGCAACAAUAACAAUUUGAGGACCCCACAACGACACUCCAAUGAUACUCCCCAUAUUAUGAUUUGAACUAGCACAACCAUAACAACAAUCUGAUGACGCCACAAUGACACUCCAACGAUAUAUACUUCCCUUUUUAUGAUUUUGAACUAACAGAGUCACAACAACAAUUUGAUGAUGCCACAACUACACACCCCCAUUUUUUGAUUUCGAACCACCUCAGCCACAACACUCAUUCAAGGAACCCUCUCCUUCUUCAUUGCCUAACCACCACAACCAAAUUUCAAAUACAAAAAAAAUCAAAUAAUUGAGCUAGAGCAAGAUGAAACAGAGAGGGGAAGAAGAAGAAUGGAUAUGGGAGGUGGAGCAAUAAGAAGCUUACCUCCCUUCAUGGUAUUCCAAAUGUUAUUUACCACUCCAAAUGUGAUUAGUCAAGACGGCGCAAUCGAAAAAUGAAUUUGAGAGUGUUGUUGGGUGUUGGUGGUUUUUCUAUGGGUAAAUUACAUUUUAUCUCCUCAAGUUUGAGGUUGAUUGUAACCUUAUAACAUCUUUAAAACAUUUUAAUUCAUACAUUUACUUAUCAUUUUAUUUCAAUUUCAUAAAUCCGUUAGAAAAUUCGUUAAAUAAACCGUUAAGUGAUGACAUGGAAAAUAUUAGAUCCAUAUUUGUGCUGAUGUGGUUACUAAAUUUGUGUCACGUAGUAAAAAAUAAUAAUUUUUCUACGCGUUUCAAAAUAAUAAUUUAAUCAGAAUAUUAAAUACUAAAAUAAUUAAUUAAAGAAAAGUUUGAAAAAAAACAAAAGAAACCUAAAACCCAUAUCGUCCCCUUCCCCAUCCGCAGCCUCAUUCCCCACCGAUUCUCCCACCACCACCCACUUGCCCACCCGAGCCACCCCUUCUCCCGUCACCAACCCCGUCCCCCAUCACUUCCGCACGAAGCUUCUCCCUCCAGCACCACCAUCAUCCCCCAUCACCCAUCACCACCCCCUUCCCCAUCACUUCCGCAACACGCUUUUCCCUCCAGCACCACCACCAUCCCCCAUCACUCAUCACCACCCCCUUCCCCAUCACUUCCACACCACGCUUUUCCCUCCAGCAGCACCACCACCAUCCCACAUCACCACCCCCUUCCCCAUCACUUCCGCACCAAGCUUCUCCCUACAGCACCACCACCAUCAAUUUCCUCAUCCCAAAGCCCCGAGCAACCCAGAGACCCCUAAUUUUUCCCCCACCUUCAUCACCACCUCAAACCCUUGCCUUGAUUUCUUCUUCCAAGUGGUGCUCUUCAUCCCCUUCUCAUGGAAGGAAGAUCCAAAUCUGCUGGGAAAACCUGUUUUUCGAAUUCGAACCCCGAGAUUUGUUGCACAAGGACAAGAAAUCGUCUUCGGUGUGGAAUCUCCGCCUAUGACUCCGACGUCGAUUGGUGGCUCCUCGGAAUCUCCAAAUUCGCAAACCUUGCCGCCUCGGCUGGGCUCAGCAAACUUCCCCCCGAAUUCUCCAGCGGGCUGUCGAAAUUAAACUUCGCGGCGACUGCGACAAGGCCAAAACUGCGAAAACGAAUCCCAGCGAAUGCUCUGCACGCAAUCUUCUGGCGGUUUUAGCGACUCCACCUCCGUCGCGAAAGCUCUGCACGCCAAACUCGCCAGUUCAACCCGAGACCGGGCAAUCUGCACAGGAUUUUUGGGUAAAUGUUUUAACGGCACAUUUAUUUUAUUAUUAUUAUUUUUUGUUUGGGUUUCCAGAUGCCCACCCUCGACGGCGGCCAAGAAAUUGUGGAGGGAGUGGUAUCCGGCUGCUCGGCUUGUUUUAAGAUUUGCUGGAGAAGAGGAGUGGGCCCCUUUGUAUUUUGUUUUAAUUUAUUUUUGUACUUAUUUUUUAUUUUAUUUUCCACGUUAUCACUUAACAAAUUUUUUAACUGAUGUAUUAUAUUGAAAUAAAAAUGAUAAGUAAAUGUAUAAAAUUGAAAUGUUUUAAUGAUGUUAUAUGAUGUUGUAAUCAACCUAAACCUAAGAGGAUAAAAUAUAAUUUACCUUUUUUUUAUCAAUGACCAAUAAAAAGAUAAAUGAAGGGCAGUGUGGACAUUUCACAUCAAAAGUUGAUCAAAAGAACAAUUUUUAAUAAGUGUGAUAAAAAAAUACAACCAAAUGUCAAAACAUGUCUAUUUUGGCUAAUAACCCUAUAAUCUUCUAAGGUCAUAAUUGGAUCUAGCUUCCAACAAAACCACUAAACUAAAAGCUAGUGACAGUAACUCAUAAGUAAAUAUUAUUAUAAAAGCGACCAAGAGUGAUAAUAAAACUUGUCAAAAUAAAUUUAUAUUGAUAGUUGAGGUCAAAUUUGCUCCAUAUCGAAGGUCCUUAUCGAACUUGGCUUUCUCAUGCUAUUAAUUGUAGACACUUUCAAUAUUACUGUGGUGUGAUUGUUGUCACUGGCCUAUGAUGAGUCGGAGACUUAUGAGUUGAUUGGUGAAUAAGAUCUAAAAUAUGUUUUCACUAAUAUAAUAUAAAUAGGUGGUUAUUCUAGCAUUACUCUUUAUAUACAAUUGGAUGAUUCAAAUCUUUUUUGUAACCUUCUUCAUGGCCUGGAAUUAUACAACUGUUUUUUUCCCUAAUAGUUCUUAUUACACCUUUACUUGAUUUGCAUCACUUCCUUUAUGUUAAUAAAAUUAGACGAUUGCACAUGCUUCCUUACGGACACCAAAGACAACAUUUUUUUUUUAAAAACUAUUGUAGUUCCGUGUGGUUGAAUGGAUUACAGGCUUUAGGGUUUCAGGGAUGUAGCACACCCCAACUUCAUGGCACAAUCGACGUAAAAAUAUUCUGAAAAUUGCAUAUAACACAUCCACGCCAAAACAAACCUGGGGCAUUAUGUACUGAUUCCAACUUCCGAUCGUAUUUUUCGUCUCCAUCCUCCUGCAAAAAGUGAAAUCUCGUUGUAAAAAUUAAUGUAAUUAUAGUAAUCUACAUAAAACUAAGAACUAAAUAAGAUAUUAAGGUCUCGUUUAUGUACUAAUUAUUUCAAUCGAAUAAGAUAAUCUGUCAUCGAACUGUACUAACUAAAUUAGUCGAACGUUUGGUGCAUUAUCGUAGUAAUGACCGUAUUAUUUAUAAUGUGUUUGGUACCGUACUGGAUGAGAGAUCGGAUUAUAUUAUUUUUACUAAAAAAAUUUGAUGACUAAUGAAAAAAAAAUUCACAACCAAAUGCAUCAAAUUUAAAAACAAAAUAAAAAUAAUUUUGCUUGUCACUUCGAUAUUGCAUUUUCUAUUUGUCCUUUAUUUAGAGCAAGUCCACCCCUAAAGACUUUGCGUCAGCACUCAGCGCAUUUAUCCACUCAAGUGAGAUUCCAGGGAACAGUAAUAGGCCAAAGUAUCUCCACGCCUAAAAAAAUAGCCUAGUCAAUUUAUUAAAAUAUUAUUAUUUUUAUUAUAAAAUAAUAAAAACUAAUAAUUUUAUUUUUAAUUUUUUGACUUUAUAAAAAAAUAAAUAUUAUUAUUAUUAUUAAAAUACUUUUAUUUUCUCAUCUUCCACACUUCCCUUCCCUUCCAUUCCUGCACGCCAUCCACCUUAACAUAGAUAAUCCAUUCCCACCGCCGCCUCCAAACCUCCUCCUCUCAUCCUCCAACACCGUUGCCCUCCUGUCUUUCAAGUCCCAAGCCGACCUCAACAACAAGCUCCUCUACCUCUCCUGCAUCUCCACACCUCUUGUCCUUCAACACCGUCGCUUCAUCCGCCUGCAUCUCCACACCUCCGAUGUCGUCGCUUUGUCCUCUCGUCCUUUUCCCUCCAUGGCUCCUUCCGUCCCGACACCCUCUCUCGCCUCGACCAGCUCCGCUCCUCAGCCUCCACAACAACUCCCUCUUUGGCGCAAAAAAAAAAAAAAAAAAAAAACUGACGUCAUAUGCCCUCCGACGCCACGCUGACGUCAGAUGGACCUGUCCCAAUGUCUGUCAAUUUUGGGCUGGCAUGGAGACUAGCUUGGGCUGGGUGCCAGUCAAUGGAAUGGAUUGGCUAAGUGUUAGCCUUGUUUUUUGGCUGAGUGCCGACCUAACCACCUCCCGGUGGAACUGCUCUUAGGAGGCAGAUUCUCUGACCUCCCACUUUCCUUGUCCUUCGUGCCCUUCUGUUUUGUGUGGUCACGGUUAAAUCACAUUAACAUUUUAUAUUAUUUUUUUAUAGAGAUAAUAAGACAAAAAAGAAUAGUAAUAUAAAAUAUUGACGUGACUUAACCAUGACCACACAAAUAGAAGGGCACGAGUCCCUUUAUUUAAACCAAAUUAUAAAAAAUAAAAAAUCUUCCCCAUAUCUUCUCCAUCGCACCGCCCCCAGACACCCUUAGUACCUUCUCCUUACCAGUUCAAGCAAAUCUUCCCCCUCAAUACAUCUGAAACAAAUCCCAAAUUACCCAGAAAUAAGGAAACUUAAUUACUAUUAAAAAAACAAAAAAGGGGGAAAUGGGUUGUAAAAUUCGUACAGGGCUCUGCUGAAACCAUUUGCUUCGUGGUUGACAAAGAUGAACCGUCCAUAUACUGGGUUUCUGUCAAAUCGAAAAUCCCUAUCAAGAACUGUUGCUCGAACUUAGGGUCUAAUGCGUUAAAACUAUUUGUAGGACAGAGAACUUCAUGGAUGCUGCAAAUCGAAGAAAGCUCUGAAGUGAACCGAGAGAAACCAACGUCAACCUACCACCAUCAGAUUGGGCCAGUUAACUGCCGAGGUCCAUGACCGUGACCCGGAGGGUUUGGCUCAGGCACCUUCGAGUAUUCGACAUAACCGAAGAGGAAGAGGGUGCGGGUAAAGAACGGAGGGAGUCGGACUAAUAAUACGUUCCUUUUGGGGUGUAUAAUUAAGGGGGCGUAAAGUGUAAUAAAUUGGAGGAGCCGGAUAAUUAGGGAUGGCAAUGCUUAUGGCGGGCGGGUAAUCGCGGUUAUUUACCCAUAACUGUUUAUAUUCAUACCUGUAUAACUGUUUAUCCGUUAAGUAAUUGCAUUAAUGGUUAUACCCAUAUCCAUAACCAUUUAUAAAUGGUUAACUACAUCCAUAAUCGUGUAUCUAUUUAACCAUAACCAUUUACCCGUUUAUCCGUUUUUGAACCUAUUUAUCAUUUUUUUUACCCAUUUAUCUUCUUUUUUUCACCCGCUACAUGUUUUAACGAUAAAGCCAAUCUUGUGUGUAUGAUAUAGGUCAUGUGGUGAUUGACCUCAAGGCUAUAAUGGCUAUCCCCAAGGUUUAACGAUAAAAUUCUUUGGCCAAAGCCCUCCAUUCAUCAUGGACGUGUGAGACUCUUGGCCUUGAUCUUAGGUAUUGAUUGUUUUGCAGGUGCAUUUUCAUCCAAAAAACAAAAAACAAAACAAAACAAAAAUUUGCAUCUAGAGUGAGUAAAAGUGGAAAUUGAUGGAUGUUGGUGGGAAGGUUACAAAGAAAAGAAGCAUGGGGUGGUGGGCAGGUUGGGAUUUGGGUGUUAAUUGGUGGAAGUAGAUUUUUGGAGGUGGUUUUGGGAGAGAGAUUGAGGUUUAGAGAUUGUGGGGUGGAAGGAGUUGGAAAUGAGAUUUAAUUGUCGAAUUCGGUGGGGAAUUUUGCAGGAGUGGCAUUUCUUAUUGCUCUAUGUAAUCUGUUGUGAGCUUUGGAGAGAGAAGCAUAGAAAAUGAAAGGGUCUCGUAAGGUAUGAGGAGGAGGUUGUGGUGAGUUGAGUUGAGUUGAGUUGAGCGAGUCAGUUUACCUGUAAAAAGAUGUUUUUUGUUCAGAAUGAACGGAAUAUCAGAUAAAAAAUUUGUUUGUAUCAUACUUAGGGCCUUCGUAUUUAGACCUCAUAUAAAUACUCGGGAGACUUAAGUGUAAUUAUGUAAUAAAUGAAGGGGCAAAUAUGUAAUAAGUGAUGAGCCCUUAGUCUAUAAAAGGGACUCCUCACCCUCACAAUCCUCAGGCCUCACAUCCCCUAAACAGAGGCUCUCUCAAACUCUCUUUCUCUGGGGGACUCCCCUUCACCCUUGUAAUCCAUACAUACAGUUAGAAAGAAAUACAAUCAACAUCAGUGUGGACGUAGCCCAAACAUUGGGGUGAACCACGAUACAUCUUGUGUUCUUUACUUUCUUGCAGAUUCACAGUCGAAUUUACAUUGUUCCAAGACAUCUGGUUUUGUGCAUCAACAUUUGGCGCCGUCUGUGGGAAACGGUACGAAAAGUUAUGUUGGUUCUCUUUCAUUUUUUCACCUCCACCAUGAAUCUGCAAAAACCCAAGAACCCUAAGUUUUCCCAGAAAAACCUAAGAAACCAAACCCUCUCUCUCUCUCCCUCUUUCGGCUCUUGCUGUUGAUAACAAAAAGGAUGAUAAAAAAACUCUUUUGCUCUUUUCGGCCUGAUGAGCAGAACGGCGCCCUUGGCCGUUUUACACCUUGCCUCCGCCCAAGACGUGGCGGGACUGGUGUAGGUAGCCUACUCUUCGCCGCACGGGUUCACGGUCUCGGCUAGAUGCCACAGGCACUCCAUCAACGGGCAGGCGCAGACCAACAACGGUGUCGUGAUUCAGAUGAGCGGGGGAUCGUUGAUCGGUGAGGCGGAAGCUCACCUGCUCAUUUUACAAAGCUCACCUGCUCCAAUAUAUGUUAGCCAUAUAUUGCCCGUCUCAAUAACCACACUGAAAUCAAACAGCAAGUGACCCGUUACAUUAAUUAGGUUGGAGUGUUUGAAAUUUAGAAGGAAACAACCGAGAACAUUCCUCGUCCACUUCCAAAUUGCAGUUGAAAAUUCAACGUUCUAUUUGUAUUUGUACUUGUACAACAUCUUCACUGUCGUUGUUUUAUUUGGGUUCCGCGAGAAACACGACAGACAACAUGAAUGGACUUCGGAGCAGCCAUUGCCAACGAUGUCUGCAACUACAAAUCCCAAUUCUCCUCCUCUUGUCCAUUAGCCUCCUAUUCAAUUUAGGUUCGGCAGACGAGCCCUCAACUCCCAAGAACGGAGACAAAGCUUCAAGUGGGUCGGUAGCGCUCAAGGCAGUGAUUGUGCUGCUGGGGGUGGCGGCUAUCAUCGGCUUCUGUGUCUUCUUGUUCAAGAUAUGGCAGAAGAAGAAGAGAGAAGAGCAACGCGCCCGUCUUCUUAAGCUCUUUGAAGACGACGAUGAACUCGAGGUUGAGCUUGGCAUUAAGGAUUGAUGAUUGAUCCCAAUGAACACAAUCCACCCUCCAGAAAGAAAAGCAAAAGAUAUCUUGCAAAGCAACAUGGGUGGGCAGAAUGAGCGGGGAGAUCAAGAAAAGCAGAAAGCAAAAGAAAAUAAAAAAAAGCAGACAUAAUUGCGGUGGUGAUGGCAUGCAAAAAAAGGAAUUAUGGGCGUGACCCAUUGAGCAGAGGGUCAGAUUUAUUUUUGAAUGAUGUGAUCUAUUUAUCUUUCGGAGACAUCUGUAUAACCCCAUCAGAGAGUAAUAAAAAAAAAAAAACAAGCCUAAAAUAAUGGGUUGGAAUGUUAUGUGGAGGCUGAAGGCCCAUAUGCCCAAAAGAGCCAGACCCUUUAUUAUCACAAACUAGGUGAUCAAAAGUAAGUCCAGUACUCUAAAAUUAUUCGGCAGCCUACUGCUAUUAUCACCAACCAGGUGAUCAAAAGUACGUCCAGUACUCCAAAAUUAUUCGGCAGCCUGUCGUUAUUAUCACUAACUAGGUGAUCAAAAGUACGUCUAGUACUCCAAAAUUAUACAUGAGCAUCACUCAUGUCAAUCAUACAUAAACAUUCAUGAGCAUCACUCAUGUCAAUCAUACAUAAACAUUCAGGACCAUUAUUCAUGUCAACAUUCAUGAGCAUCACUCAUGUCAACAUCCAUGAGCAUCACUUAUGUCAAUCAAUGUAAACAUUCAUGAGCAUCACUCAUGUCAAUCAGCUUCGAAAGCUUCAUUUACAGAGCUCCAGCUUCAGCUUCAGCUUUCAGAGCUUCAUCAAGCUUCAAAAGCUUCAUUUUCAAAAGCUCUCAAAGCUUCACUUGCAAAGCUUCACCUACAAAGCUUCAGUCAUGCAGGGUAUAUAAAAUACCGCAUCUGAACAAUCGCCCAACUUCGGCACUAUACUUUCAUAGAAGACUUGGGGGACUACACUAUGUACUUGGGGGACUUAGCCCAUUAUUUAUGUAUUGAAGAGCGAACCCUUAUUUUAUAAAAGGGACUCCUUCACUUUCAUUAGAGAGCACCCAUUAUUUAUGUAUUGAAGAGCGAGCCCUUAUUCUAUAAAAUGGACUCCCUCACCAUCAUUAGAUAGCAUCGUUGCCAGCUAAGCAACCUCCUCGCCGCGAACAUCAACUCUAGCCCAUCACUUAUGUAUUGAGAAGCGAGCCCUUAUUUUAUAAAAGGGACUCCCUCACCAUCAUUAGAGGCAUUGCCGCCUACUGAGCAACCACCUCGCCACGAGCAUCAACUCUAGCCUAUCACUUAUGUAUUGAGGAGCGAGCCCUUAUUUUAUAAAAGGGACUCCCUCACCAUUAUUAGAGAGCAUCGCCGCCUAUUGAGCAACCGCAUCGCCGCUAGCAUCACUUAUAGCCCAUCAUUUAUGUAUUGAGGAGCGAACCCUUAUUCUAUAAAAGGCACUCCUUCACCUUCAACGCCACAAGCCGAGCCAACCAAGGCAACAUAAGCCACAAGCCAAGCAACAUCGCAACAUGUGCUACUUCUAGUUGAGCAUCAUUUCACAUUGAGCACCGCCUCAUAUCGAGUAUCAGUUCUAGACGACAUCUAGUUACUUCGGCCCACACAUGGACUAAAUUUCAAGUCUCCAGCCAAAAGACUCUCUUGACGGAAGACUUGGGGUACUACUGUUUGUAUCAUACUUAGAGCCUUCGUAUUUAUACCUCGUAUAAAUACUCGGAGGACUCAAGUGUAAUUAUGUAAUCAAUGAAGGGGCAAAUAUGUAAUAAGUAAUGAGUACUUAGUCUAUAAAAGGGACUCCUCACAUUCACAAUCCUCGGGCCUCGCAUCCCCUAAAUAGAGGCUCUCUCAAACUCUUUUUCUCUGGGGGACUCCCCCUCACCCUUGUAAUCCAUACAUACAAUUAGAGAGAAAUACAAUCAACAUCAGUGUGGACGUAGCCCAAACAUUGAGAUGAACUACGAUACAACUUGUGUUCUUUACUUUCUUGCAAAUUCACGGUCGGAUUUACGUUGUUCCAAGACCUCCGAUUUUGUGCAUCAACAAAAUUAAAAAAAUCUAAUGGCAUAAAGAAAUUUGGCUAAUUAUAAAAUUUCGAAGAUAAUCAAAUAAGAUAAAAAUUUAUAAGAGAAAUUAACGUCUUACAAAAAAAUCGACAAAUAAGUCAUAUUAAAACAACUCUCAAGGUUCUGCCGUCUCAGUUCUUGUGCUCUUCCGUGCCCUCCUGUUUUAUGUGGUUACAGUUAAGCCACAUCAUUUUUUUAUAUUAUAUUUUUUAUAAAGAUAAUAAGAUAAAAAAUAAUAGUAAUAUAAAAUAUUAACAUUACUUAACCGUGAUCAUACAAAAUAAGAAAGUACGAUAGGGCACAAAAAGUGGGAGGGCAGGAAAUCUGCCUCCCUCUCCACCCAUGCUAUCUAAUUUCACACGUUUCAACAUGCAGAAGCUACUAAAUCUGCCUCCCUCUCCACCCAUGCUAUCUAAUUUCACACGUUUCAACAUGCAGAAUCUACUUGCAAUAUCACUCCCUUGUCAUUAUCACAUCACAUCACUUUUUGUUACUUGUCAUGACCCCAUGCAUGACUAUGCAUCCUGACAAUUCUGAUCAACCCCAUGCCGUUUCCUUUCUUAUUUUUUUUCUUUUUAUUUAAACAGUCAUAACAAAAUCACGUUAAGAUUUUAUAUUAAUUUUUUUUUUAUAAAAAAACAAAGUAAAGUAGGAAAUUUUAACAAAAAACUCAUGGUACUGUUCACUUUAACGAAAAACCAUAUUUUUACACUAAAAAGUUAAUCCUGGUACUAUUUACUUUACCUUUUAUUUUGUCCUUAUUAUUAAAACUCAAAGUUUUCAAAUCAUUUUCAUUAGUUUUAUUAAUACAGUACGUAAGAAGAGGAGAGAAAAGAGAAUAAAAAGAGAAAGAGAAAGAGGAAAAUUCUAAUCCCACUGCUCCAAUCCAAUCCGAUGACAAGAAUCCCAAUCCCAUGUAAACUGCACUGCUUGCUUGGAGAUAUAAUUAGAUUUGGAUUGUCUGCUCUCCUCAUCUCAUAUUCUUCGCAUGCCUCCUAUUAUGUGGUCACAGUUAAGUCACAUCAAUAUUUUAUAUUAAUUUUUUUAUAGAAAUAAUAAGACAAAAGGUAAUAGAAAUAUAAAAUGUUAACGUAACUGAACUGUGACCAUAAAAAUAGGAGGGUAUGAGAUGGAGAGAGUAGGCAAUCCAAGUCCGAUAUAAUUUGCAUCUUAUUAUUCCGUAAAAGAAAAGACUAAGAUAAUUCAUAUUAAAAGAUAAUUAUUAUAUGAUUAAAAAUCAUAAUAUUAUUCUUUAACAAUAAUAAAAUUCUCAUCACUUUUUCAUUUGAUUGUUUAGAACCAUGCUCAAUCAAUGGUUUCGAUUGCACGGAUCGAUAGUGUAAUUUUGAGUCCAAAUAGAAACACAUAAAAAGAUUGAAAAUGCAUUUUUAUACUCUAGGGAGAAGCGGAGCUAGUAAUUUACAACAAUGGGAUCAAAAAUAACUUUAAAAAAUCGAUCACACUUUCAUUUAAAAAUAGCUUCCAAAUUGAAAACACAUCACCCAUCUCACUCAAAUGAAAGAACAAAUAGAGAUUAAAAAAAUACAUAACAAAUUUCUCUCUAAAAAAUUAGCACCAAUAUGAGUAAUUGCUAGGGCACCCUGCGGAGAGCACUAAAGCAGCAACUGCUGCCUUUUAAAUGAUGCCCCAUGUUUUUCACACUCUCUCUGUCUGGUUCUCUCUUUCAAAAUGGUAGACCCGACUGCUCUCUUAUUAAAAUGAGAGAGCUGAAUCCUCUCCGAUCAAAGGGUAUGGCAAACAGGUGAUAUAUGUAUUACAACAAAUCAACAUAAAUUAAUAGAGAAAUAUAAAGGAAAUGCAGAGUCUUUGAGGACUGAUUCUCUGGAUUUUAUGUCUUUCCUUUCAACUUUUGUCUAUAAAUAAACACACACACAAACACCCCAACUACUACCUCCACUACCACCCCACAGCUUUAUCUAAGCUGACCUCGUGCAACCCUUUUGCAAUUUUGUAUCAAACAGUUCAGAUUUCAACCUUCAAUGGCGGAUGAGGUGGUUUUGUUGGAUUCCUGGCAAAGCCCAUUUGGGAUGAGGCUAAGGAUUGCUCUGGCUGAGAAGGGCAUCGAGUAUGAGUACAAAGAUGAGGACUUGUGGAACAAGAGCCCACUGUUGCUGCAGAUGAACCCGGUUCACAAGAAGAUCCCGGUUCUCAUUCACAAU